AGGUACCGGAAGGUGCGCUUGGCAA
rnacentral:rRNA from 1 species